ACACGGGAAAGGAGGUGGUCCAGACUUGUAUAGCAAUCGGACUCGUGAGGUGGCUGUCCGCUAGCCGCUGUCCUCGACAGUGAAAACUCGUCCGCCGCGAGGCGGGCAUGCACGAUCGUCGAGACCGUGUGGCAGCGGUGCGGCGAAACCACGACAGCCACCCGACCCCCGGGGUGCCGGCCCAGUCCAGCCGGCCCGCGCGUGAGCGCGGAAGCCCCGGGGGUCGCUUUUU
rnacentral:sRNA from 1 species